GCGAGGGAGGGAUAGCAAAUGCCUAGUUAAAAUACUCUUGAAGAACACUUCAAUAUUCAUUGGUUCCAAGCGUCCAGAUAUCCAGCAAUAACAGUUUUACAUAAAGAAUGUUUGAAGUUUAAACAAGAAAUUCUACUCUAGCUUUAACACAAACACCAAAAACAAUAGCUAAAUGUCUUAAUCUGCAGAAACAAAACAUAACAAUCACUGAACAGUUCUAUUGUUAUUCUCGCAUUUUAGUUUUGAAAUCUCUUUUAAUAAUAAAAGUUUUUUUAUAUAAAAAUGUUGCACUUUUCACUUCCUGUCAACAGGUUUAUAAAAUAUUGAACUUAUUUUCCAUGUUGAUUUCUUUUUUUGGAUGUUUUCGGUUCGAACGGCAGUUUUUAACAUAAUUUCUAGGUAACUAAAAAAUUUUAAACUUCGUAUACUGGUAGAAUGUGUUUAUAAAACAUCUUUUUCUCUUGGCUUUAUUGAGAAAAUUUAUAGUUUGUAAGAUAUUUGUUGUGUUUUUUUCUUCAAUUUCUGCAAUUUCAACCAAUCACUGACGUCUAUUGAGGUAAAAAAAAACAUUCUGUGCCAUAUGAAUAUGUCCCUCGUUUAAGAAACAGAUUGGGUUUAUUUACAUUUGUGAAGAAAAAAAUACCCUUCCUCCACCCCUAACCCUAACCCUAAAGAGAUUGAAAUGCAAUAGAUCGAUACUAGGGUCAUAAUUAUGGGUGACAAUUUCAUAUGACACCACUAGAAAAAACUGCCGUUCAAACCGAAAAGAUCCCUUUUUAAAAUUUCUAUUAUAUCAUAUGAAUUCUAAGCAAGGAUGUCACUCAUUUUAGAGAAUAAGUAUCUUAAGAUUUUUUUUUUUUAUUUUUGUUCUUUUCUUAAUGGGUGAGGUGAAAGAAGAAAAAAAAACAAUAGCAGGGUUUCUGAAAGAAUGUUCCAACACUUUGUUUUCACAAAACAGCUUUAAAAUAUUUACUUGAUAAUGAGAGAUGAGAUUUAAUAAAACUAGCAAGAGGUAGAAUUCAAAAAAUAGUUUAGUGAGCAACAUCUAUGAGAAUUAACAAAGUAUUAAACUCUUUUGCUUGGAAGAAUGCUAAUGCAACUAAUCUGGUUUGUAUCUUACUUUUCUGGAGUUCUAAAACCAUUAUCAACAGAAAACCACUUUUGAAGAUGACUAAAUCAGCAGCAAUUUAAUCAAAAACACGCAUACACCAAUAUUUCAAAAUGGUAAGAAUUUGAAAUUGCUAGAUUACUAUAUUAGAAACACAUUUUAUAUGUAUGGAUGGUUUAAUUAAUAAUUGUAGGUGUAUAUGUGCACAUAUAUUUCUUUACUACCCACAAGGGGACAAACAAGGACAGACAAAGGGGUUAAGUCGAUUAGAUCGACCCCAGUGCGUAACAGGUACUUCAUUUAUCGACCCCGAAAGGAUGAAAGGCAAAGUCGACCUCGUCGGAAUUUGAACUCAGAACGUAACGACACGAAAUACCGCAAAGCAUUUCGCCCGGUGUGCUAACGAUUCUGCCAGCUCACCGCAUAUGUGCACAUAAAUGUGGCCAUAAAAGUCAAAUAUUGUUUUCAAAAUUACACUAUUAACUUGUAUGCAGAUUGCAGUGCCGAAUAAUCCAAUAAGGUAAGUACAACUGCAUGCAUACAUAACAAAUACUCUACUGGUUCCAACAAUGAGUAUUCUAGUCAUUCAAUCAACUGAACUACCAGUUCAAUGAACUUACACUCGCCUCCUUAUGAGAGCUCAAAAUCUCUCGUGGAAGCGUCAUCCAACCAAAGUACAAAUAUAUGGGAAACUACCACCUGUAUCAUCUCUUGUGAAAGGUAGAAGAGUCCAGUUUGCUGGACAUUGUUGUAGAGCUGAAAACGAGGCAAUUUCUACUCUUCUCCUCUGGAAGCCAUCUACUCGCAACACCAUGUAAUUUCCAGGGAUACAGGCAUCCAGCAACAGGACCUCCGUAAUGCUAUGAUGGACUGUGAGGUCUGGCGUAGCACAGUAAAUUCCAUUGUCUCGACCACGGUCAAACAAUGAUGAUGAUGAUCAAUGUACUAUUGUGAUUCAGAUUCCACAGAAACUAAUAUCCUUAACAUAAUCUUCAGGCAGAAUCAUUAUGACAGUAUGGAUUAAGGAUGGCACUUUCAAUUACAUAUACAGUAUAAACCAUCUGAAGGGACUUCCAUAGUUUCCAUUCACUAAAUUUCAUUCACAAAGGUUUAGGUUGAUCCUGGGCUCACACAAGAUGUCAUACAGCAGGAUCAAAUCUGAGACCACAUUACUGCAAAGUAAAAUUUUUUUAACUAACUGACCAUACCUCUAUCUACACACAUACAUGCAUUCACUCGCACAUGCGCACACACACACACACAAUUUCAAAACCUACAUAUCUGUCUGAAAAAUUCAUUUUACAUUUCUAAUAACAGUUAGUGCACUUAGUUAUGUUGGUAAAUGCCAAAAUGCUCAAAAAAGUUGAGAUUUCCAGGCAAUGGAAGUGACCAGCUAAAAAACACUUUACAAAUACAAUCUGUAGGCAUUUCAGUAAAAAAUAAGCAAAACUUUUCUUAAGUUCAACAAGUAGCUCAUAACAAUUACUGCUAUCUAAAUUCCCAUGAUAGAUCUUUGAUUCUGUUUGAAACCAGAUCCUUCAUUAUAGAAAGAAUUCAAGUAGUUAACGAAGAAGGAUAACAUGUAUACAUAAGUACAUACAUACAUACAUACAUCUAGCCAUUUUGAAAGUCUACUAGCAUAAACAUUAAACAUAAGAACAUGGGGACUGUUCUCUGCGAUACAUGUACUACAUCUUCAACUGUAAAGAACAGUACAAUAAUUCCAGAGGAAAAGGGAAAAAAACUGUGACCACUAACUUUUGCUCUCUAAGUUGAUAGCACGAACAGAAAUAACAAUGCUUGUAACUUCUAAAAAGUUUUUGGUUAUCAAGUAAUAUUUUCCUUUCCUUGUAAUAUCUUCUUUUGUGAGACCCUUCUACUACAUACACUGUAGCUUUAUAGUCUAAAUUGAAUUACUUUUUUGCUCUUUAACACUAAAGCCACGCAAUUGUAUAGCUGACUUAAUUUGUAGCAUACGAAACAACAGACCGGGGGGACAUGUGUACAUAUGCACAAAUAUACAUGCUGUUUCACAGGGGGGUGGGGGUAUAUAACACCUUUCGUGUGGAGGUUUUAAAAUCAAGUAAUUGCAGUUCCAUACAAACUGAGAAUAUAUAAACAGACAGAAUCCUAAAAGAAAAAAGAUUUUGUCAUAAAGGCUCUUACCUCACUCUGCAUGUAUGCUUAUGUGUGUGAGUGUGUAUAUAUACUAUAU
rnacentral:lncRNA from 1 species